rnacentral:rRNA from 1 species
GUGGGGAAUCUUGCGCAAUGGGCGAAAGCCUGACGCAGCCAUGCCGCGUGAAUGAUGAAGGUCUUAGGAUUGUAAAAUUCUUUCACCGGGGACGAUAAUGACGGUACCCGGAGAAGAAGCUCCGGCUAACUUCGUGCCAGCAGCCGCGGUAAUACGAAGGGGGCUAGCGUUGCUCGGAAUUACUGGGCGUAAAGGGCGCGUAGGCGGACAGCUUAGUCAGAGGUGAAAGCCCAGGGCUCAACCUUGGAAUUGCCUUUGAUACUGGCUGUCUUGAGUUUGGGAGAGGUGAGUGGAACUCCGAGUGUAGAGGUGAAAUUCGUAGAUAUUCGGAAGAACACCAGUGGCGAAGGCGACUCACUGGCCCAAUACUGACGCUGAGGCGCGAAAGCGUGGGGAGCAAACAGGAUUAGAUACCCCUGUAAUCC